rnacentral:snRNA from 1 species
GUGCUCACUUCAGCAGCACAUGAACUAAAACCUGAACGAUACAGAGAGGAUGGGCAUAGUCCUUGCUUAAGGAUAACGUGCACAUGUGUGAAGCAUUUCCUAUUUUU